UUGAUUUGACAGUGCAAAACAGUAUUAUACAAUAGUAUAUAAAAGUUAAAACUCUUGAAUAAUAAUUAUCAAACAAAUAAAUAAAAACUGCGUUGGAAGGUAUGAAUCAAAAUACGGAUGUGUUUGGACUAACUUCUUCAUAUUAAAAUAAAACUUCGCUCACUACAAGUAUAAACUAUAAAUUUUAUUUUUGUUUCACUACAACGAAAAUCAAAAGCUAACUUUGGGUCAUCCCAAACAACAAGAACUUCAUUAACCACAACCCACAUGAAAUGAUUGCCAAUAAAGAUACAAGUGUUGUAAUUCGGGUAUGUACAUAUAAACAACACUUUUUGUCCACCUAACAAAGACAUCAUCACCUUUUUUCCUUCCUUCUGGGGUACAUACAAAACAUUUCCAUUCCUUUUGGGAGUACAUAUGAAAAUUAAUGAGCUCGGUACACGAGACACUAUAUUUAAUCAGAAAAAUAUGAAAGUAGAACGGUCCAUCUAUUUCAGAAUCCAGACCUACAAUACAGGACACUGAAGCCUGAGGAUUAAAUAUUUCUAAGAAUAAUAUGCUUUACAAAUUUCUCAUACAAACAUAUCAUUGUCACAUAAAAUCGAUGUCAGCUAACAAAGAAUAAAAUGAAGAACGUGUCUGCUGAAGUAUAGAUGGCAUUCAAAUAUAACUAUAUGUAACAUUGUGAAGCAGUGCAUUUUUACAAGAACUCUCAGUCUAAGUCCUAGGCAGGCAAAUUUACCGACUUUGCUCCUAGUUUAUAUGCUACAAUUUUUCUAAAAGAAGUGCUUUCUAUGUCCAGUGAUCACUCCCAACUCAUCAACAGGAAAAACUUCAUAUUCUUUCUAAUACAGAAAGUCCCAUCUCCCCCGAAUAGUAUAGAGACCGGGAUCUUUUUUUUUAGUAUAGCUUCUCAAUAUGAAACUAAAUAACACACCGUACUGUCAGCUCUAGCACAAAUAUGCUAUCAAUACAAAACGUAACUUGGAGUGAAGAUUCACUUACAAUAAAAAUAAAUAGGAAACCAACUUGAAACUCAUAGAACCUUUAAGAAUAACAUUAUAAAACAAAUAGGCAAAGAUACAUUAGCUUCAAACACGCAAAAAUCAGCAAAAAGAUUGAUUUUGAACUUCAAAUAUAUGAAUUUAUUGGUCAUUAGAUGCACCAGAACUAGUAGAGAGCCAUUGAUAUGAGCCAACUGCCACAAUUUUAUUCAUAUGGACAAUAUUGAAGAAGAGUUGGCUCCAGACGAGUUGAGAUAUAAGAGAGCAACAUACUCUAAAAGGUUUCCUGCUGCCCUGCAUUCACUUAUCAUCCCUUGAUUAAAGGCACAGUUGGCCAGCUUGGCCUUCAUCAAUAAAAAAGAUGCAAAAUUAAGAGGCAAACAAUGCAUUUUGCCCACAAUCUUUCAUGCAAUUAGUUACUUUGAACCAACAUACGUUCUCACCUUUCCGAUACCGACUUCGUCCAUCAACACCAGAUAAUUAACCACAGCAGACCACCAACAACAAACAGAAAGAGCCUUCAGCCUUUGUGUGGUCAUCAGCAAUUCAAAGAUGUCAUGAACAAGCCUGAAUGAUUCUAAUCAAAGUACAACCACUUGCUAAAAAACAGUAGUCUCUGAAGCAAGGAAUCAGUAUACACAUUGCAAUUAAUGUAUACAACAAGAUAUUUCUCAUUGUAAAUGAUAACUAAAUGAAUUCUACAGGUAGCACACUAUAGACUAAACAAAUUCUUUAGGCCUGACAUAUUUGCCGCAUGAGCUAAGGAGUUACUACCCAAAAUACGAAUACAUCAUGCAGCACCCACAAGUAUAGCAAAAAGAAUAUCUGUGAUAUGGAAAAGCACAUGAACAAAAGCACAUCAUAAUCUUGGUCAGCAUCGCCGCCCAAUAUCAAGUCCAUCAAUAAAUAUGUCAUGUCCAAACAAUUAUAAAUGCUACUACAUUAACAUAUGCUAAGUGGACAUACUUAAUACAGGUGACUAGUUGCUAGAUUUGUAGUGUACCUUGAAGAAUCUGCACACUCUGUCAGACCUAUUUGAAAUGGCCAAUGAAGGGUCCAUGUAACAUGGAAAAUACAGAAAGUAAGCACAUACAAAAGUCAUGAUCAGACUCGAAUAAUACUGCCCAAAUCAAAUUCUAAAAAGAACAUGAUCUACUGAUCCAAACUAAACUCUCAAGUUGGUAGAUCCAAAUUACAAAUUCCCAGUUUUGCGUCUAAAAAAUGAAGUACAUCUUACAUAGAGCAUUAUUUUGAUCUCAUUUCCUCAUUCUUUUAUCUACUUAAUACAGUAAAUCAUUCACAAACUUAUAUAAAAAGAAACUACCGCAAGAUAUUUGAUCAAACCCUAGCGGCAACAGCAGGGGCGACAGCUACAGCGGCAGCAUUGGCGGCACCGCCGCCCAAGAAAGAGAGAAACCCAGUAGCGGGAGAGUCCUGUGGAUCGUCAAGGAAAAGAUCCUCAGGGACCCUAAAAGCAGCAUGCGUACACACAAUCGCAAGACCAAUCAUUAGAGCUGAAACAAGCACACUUCCAACAGAUGUCAAGAAGAUCACAACCACAGUUGAAAUGAUAAGCAGACCCAGCGUCUCCCUCUCAGAAAACUGCCGUCCAAAUAUAACCAAAGGCGGAUCGGAAGGGCGGAAAAGGUAAAGGAAAAGCCAAGCUGCGAGGAGGCCGGUGAGGACAAGAAGGGAAAAAGGGUUUGUAAUGAGUGAAAAUGCAAGAACAACGGCAAGGGCAGAGAGGUAAUUGAUACGGAAGUAGGUGUAGUUUUUGCGGAUACGGAGAGUGGCGUCAGAGAACGAUUCCGGUUUGGAAAAAGAGAAUAUUGUUCAUAACAGCAUUACCAACAGAUGUCAAGAAGAUCACAACCACAGUUGAAAUGAUAAGCAGACCCAGCGUCUCCCUCUCAGAAAACUGCCGUCCAAAUAUAACCAAAGGCGGAUCGGAAGGGCGGAAAAGGUAAAGGAAAAGCCAAGCUGCGAGGAGGCCGGUGAGGACAAGAAGGGAAAAAGGGUUUGUAAUGAGUGAAAAUGCAAGAACAACGGCAAGGGCAGAGAGGUAAUUGAUACGGAAGUAGGUGUAGUUUUUGCGGAUACGGAGAGUGGCGUCAGAGAACGAUUCCGGUUUGGAAAAAGCGGACCGGUCGAGGAGUUCGGACCAGGGACGGCGGUUAGCGAAACCGGUUUGAACUGUGGUGGAGAUGUGGUUGAUGAAUGAACGGAAUGCUGGUGUUGGGGCGAUUUGUUGCGCCGUAUCGGUGGAGGGUGGUACGUUGGUUGUUGGGAGGACUGCUGGUGAUGAUGCGGCUGCCAUUUUUGUGCUUUUGUGUGUGUGUGAGAGAGAGAAAGAGUAAAUAAGGAGCAAUUUAUACAAAGGUUGGGAUUUUUUCUUAAUUUAUUCGUCGGUGCUAUAUAAGUUUUUUUUUC
rnacentral:lncRNA from 1 species